rnacentral:rRNA from 1 species
AUUGAACGCUGGCGGCAGGCUUAACACAUGCAAGUCGAACGAGUGGCGGACGGGUGAGUAAUGUGUGGGAAACUGCCUGAUGGAGGGGGAUAACUACUGGAAACGGUAGCUAAUAACGCAUACCAUCAGAUGUGCCCAUAUGGGAUUAGCUUGUGGGUGGGGUAACGGCUCAUCAAGGCGACGAUCACUAGCUGGUCUGAGAGGAUGACCAGCCACACUGGAACUUAGACACGGUCCGGACUCCUACGGGAGGCAGCAGUGGGGAAUAUUGCGCAAUGGGCGCAAGCCUGAUGCAGCCAUGCCGCGUGUAUGAAGAAGGCCUUCGGGUUGUAAAGUACUUUCAGCGGGGAGGCGUUACCCGCAGAAGAAGCACCGGCUAACUCCGUGCCAGCAGCCGCGGUAAUUC